UAGAGUUUGAUCAUGGCUCAGAUUGAACGCUGGCGGCAGGCCUAACACAUGCAAGUCGAGCGGUAGAGAGAAGCUUGCUUCUCUUGAGAGCGGCGGACGGGUGAGUAAUGCCUAGGAAUCUGCCUGGUAGUGGGGGAUAACGUUCGGAAACGGACGCUAAUACCGCAUACGUCCUACGGGAGAAAGCAGGGGACCUUCGGGCCUUGCGCUAUCAGAUGAGCCUAGGUCGGAUUAGCUAGUUGGUGGGGUAAUGGCUCACCAAGGCGACGAUCCGUAACUGGUCUGAGAGGAUGAUCAGUCACACUGGAACUGAGACACGGUCCAGACUCCUACGGGAGGCAGCAGUGGGGAAUAUUGGACAAUGGGCGAAAGCCUGAUCCAGCCAUGCCGCGUGUGUGAAGAAGGUCUUCGGAUUGUAAAGCACUUUAAGUUGGGAGGAAGGGCAGUUACCUAAUACGUGAUUGUUUGACGUACCGACAGAUAGCC
rnacentral:rRNA from 1 species